rnacentral:lncRNA from 1 species
ACUUUCUCUAUUGGCUUUUCUUUCUUGAAUUUAUGAAUUCAUCUUGUCUAGUUUCUAUAACUUCUAUUAAGAGCGUCAAUGGUUUUCUUUAAUUCUUGGCUUUACAUCUAACACAACCAAUGAAUCAUUUGAAGGUAUUUGAGUAAUUUUGGACUUUGUCACCAACCAUAUGGGUUGAACUGUGAACUGGUUUCUCUACUGUAAUAUUUGGAAGUGUUUCUUG